UACGAAGGGGGCUAGCGUUGUUCGGAAUUACUGGGCGUAAAGAGCGUGUAGGCGGCCAGGUAGGUCUGCUGUGAAAACUCGAGGCUCAACCUCGAGACGUCGGCGGAAACCAUCUGGCUAGAGUCCGGAAGAGGAGAGUGGAAUUCCUGGUGUAGCGGUGAAAUGCGCAGAUAUCAGGAAGAACACCAAUGGCGAAGGCAGCUCUCUGGGACGGUACUGACGCUGAGACGCGAAAGCGUGGGGAGCGAACAGG
rnacentral:rRNA from 1 species